GUGAGGAGAGGAGGGGAGAGGAGGGAACAGAAGAGGAGAGGGCAAUGGCAGUAAUAAAUCCGGGGGAUCGUUUCCUGGCUUUACCUUGAUCUAUGGAGGAGCAGAGAGACCAGAAGAGCCAGCAUGUGAGGGGACAAGAGUGGAAAGAGCAUCGGUGCCACGCAGAAGGUGACGGCUGAAGCUCAAGCAGCCAUACUGGACCAUGAAGAGGCAGCCACCUGCUAAGCACACCCCACGAUGGAGGGUCCUGGGUAGGGCCCCUGACACUGCAGCGGACCAUUGCCAGCCUGGGGCCUCCUCUCUCCAGGCUUCUCCACCAAAGAGAAAUAAACUUC